rnacentral:miRNA from 1 species
AGAGGUGCCCCGCUGUUGCUGU